AAACCAACAGGGAUUGCCUUAGUAACGGCGAGUGAAGCGGCAAAAGCUCAAAUUUGAAAUCUGGCACUUUCAGUGUCCGAGUUGUAAUUUGAAGAAGGUAACUUUGGAAUUGGCCCUUGUCUAUGUUCCUUGGAACAGGACGUCACAGAGGGUGAGAAUCCCGUGCGAUGAGGUGACCAAUUCUAUGUAAAGUGCUUUCGAAGAGUCGAGUUGUUUGGGAAUGCAGCUCUAAGUGGGUGGUAAAUUCCAUCUAAAGCUAAAUAUUGGCGAGAGACCGAUAGCGAACAAGUACAGUGAUGGAAAGAUGAAAAGAACUUUGAAAAGAGAGUGAAAAAGUACGUGAAAUUGUUGAAAGGGAAGGGCUUGAGAUCAGACUUGGUAUUUUGCGUUCCCUUCCUUUUUGGUUGGGUUCCUCGCAGUUUACUGGGCCAGCAUCGGUUUGGAUGGUAGGAUAAUGACAUUGGAAUGUGGCUCUACUUCGGUGGAGUGUUAUAGACUUUGUUGAUACUACCUAUCUAGACCGAGGACUGCGUCUUUGACUAGGAUGCUGGCGUAAUGAUCUUAAGCCGCCCGU
rnacentral:rRNA from 1 species